rnacentral:ncRNA from 2 species
CUUCAUACGGAGCAAACAGGUCUUCACCUGCGCGGACGCUUCCGGGUGGGUGAAGUUAAAAGGGAAGUUUGGUGAAAAUCCAACGCGGUCCCGCCACUGUAAGAGGGGAGUUUUCCUUCACGGCGACAGCCAUCCACUGCUCCAGCGGGAGUGGGAAGGAGAAGGAAAGCGGCGAUCCUCAAGCCAGGAGACCUGCCUGUUUUGCGUGUGCACU